rnacentral:ribozyme from 14 species
UUUUUAUUUCAAUCGUUCAAUUUUGGAUCUUUUUCAACAGUUGGAGGAAGGAUACUUGUCAUCUAGGUGCACUCUUGUUCUCUCAUAGAAAGAAUAGGCGUCAACAGCAUACAUGAUUGAAUUUUAAUUGAUUAUUUUGUUUUAUCUACGUCUAUUACUCUUUUUGAAAAUCAAAAAGUAAAA